UGGGGGCAGACCAGGCCUGGCAGGGCUGCAACAUGUGUUGGCCUUCAUGUAAGCUGGAUCGGGGAAAACCAAGCUGGGCUGACUGUUCAUACUAGUACA